GGCCCGUGAAGAUCGUUUGCUUGUAUGCAAAUCUGCAGUUCUCUUUAGCUUAGCAUCCUUUACACUAUCCUUCCGCAAGUAUUCAUCUGCUAGUGAUCUAGCCAGAGACUCUACCAUGCCACCUUCAAUAGAAACCACAUGAAAUGCAGAGCCUUUUGGUGAAAUUUGACCAAAUUUGUCUUUAUUUUCACUUAAUUUGUGAAAUGAUGAUAUCCGCUUCAAGGCAGCAAUGUCCACACGAAGCAUGCUGGCAGAAAAACCACAAAGCUCCAGAAGAAAAGCACUUGAUGCCACCAAUACGGGAUCCUCAAAG
rnacentral:misc_RNA from 1 species